UACAUGGGGUGCAAACGUUGUUCGGAUUCACUGGGCGUAAAGGGUGCGUAGGCGGCCGGGUAAGUCUGAUGUGAAAUCCCGCAGCUCAACUGCGGAACUGCAUCGGAUACUCUCCGGCUAGAGGAAUGGAGGGGAGACUGGAAUUCUCGGUGUAGUAGUGAAAUGCGUAGAUAUCGAGAGGAACACCAGUGGCGAAGGCGAGUCUCUGGACAUUUCCUAACGCUGAGGCACGAAAGCCAGGGGAGCAAACGGG
rnacentral:rRNA from 1 species